UUUUUUUUUUGUCUCAGCUUGAAUUCGGAUGCCGAUUUUCUUACGAAUCCAAAAGCUUAUGGUUACUCCUAGUUAUCCACAUUUUUUAUGUAUAUAUGCAUGGUGUGUGUGUGUAGGAUAUCUAUUAUUCUCUUGCGCAAAUUAAUAAUACAGGUUAAGAUAGAUUAUCAUUUGACUAGAGCCGCCCCUCCGGGGGUAUACACUAGAAGAACUGGCUUCUAUAGAUGCAUAGAAGUGCCCUGGGGGUAAUACCAGAAGAACUGGCUUAUGUAUAGAUGUGUAAACGUUUGGUCUUAGCUAGAUACUUGGGUUACACAGACAGAUAAAUAGAUGUUUUCUUUAGUUUCGAUCUUGUAUAUAUAUACUGAUAUUUUCCAAGUGGAAAACGAG
rnacentral:lncRNA from 7 species